GGUACUACAGAAAAAGUCC
rnacentral:misc_RNA from 1 species